rnacentral:rRNA from 1 species
AUUGAACGCUGGCGGAAUGCUUUACACAUGCAAGUCGAACGGCAGCACGGGGCAACCUGGUGGCGAGUGGCGAACGGGUGAGUAAUACAUCGGAACGUGCCCAAUCGUGGGGGAUAACGUAGCGAAAGUUACGCUAAUACCGCAUAAGACCACGGCAGCUGCGGCUGCUGAGGUAAAAGGCGCUUUAUUGAGUCGCCUGAGGACGGGUCCGCGUCCCAUUAGCUAGUUGGCGGGGUAAUGGCCCACCAAGGCGAUGAUGGGUAGCUGGUCUGAGAGGAUGACCAGCCACACUGGGACUGGAACACGGCCCAGACUCCUACGGGAGGCAGCAGUGAGGAAUAUUGCACAAUGGGCGAAAGCCUGACGCAGCAACGCCGCGUGCGGGAUGAAGGCCCUCGGGUCGUAAACCGCUUUCAGCAGGGAUGAAAAUGACAGUACCUGCAGAAGAAGCCCCGGCUAAAUACGUGCCAGCAGCCGCGGUAAAACGUCUA